GUUCAUUAAACCAAGAUGCUAAAAUUAAAUUGAGAAAUCUAACUCACAAGCAAUACAUUCUGUUCUACAAAAUAGUGAAUAUAUUAUGAUCAGAAUAGCAACAACAAAGGGGCAUUAGGGCAAUGUUGCAAGUGUCAUGUGUUCUUAUAAUCAAGUUAAUGGCAAACCAACUUGUGCAGACCCUGACCUUCUUAAAGGGGUUAUUCGUGACAAGUGGAAAUUAAAUGGAUAUAUAGUUUCUGAUUGUGACUCAGUAGAUGUGUUUUU